GAUGUGAUGGUGUAUGAGGAAAAGACGCUUAAGCGUCUUCAAAGAUUGCAGACUACUAGUGCUGAUCUCCCCAAGGACAAGGUGUUGGCCAAAAUACGGAACUACUUGCAGCUUCUUGGUCGCAGGAUUGAUCAAAUAGUUUUUGAAUAUGAGAACGAAUCACAUAAGCAAGAAAGGAUGACAGUCCGUUUAUGGAAUUAUGUCUCAACAUUUUCAAAUUUGUCUGGCGAGAAGCUUCGUCAGAUUUAUUCUAAACUUAAGCAGGAGCAACAUGUAGAAGGACGGGUAGGACCGUCGCAGUUUAAUGGUUCUGCACCUGCGCAUCCAACGCCAGGUUUUGUACCUCGAGGUUUUGAUGCAGCCAAAUUUGAAGCAUGGAAACGAAGGAAAAGAGCUGAAGCUGAUGUUCAUUCGCAAGUUCAGCCCCAACAUCAAAGAGCUUUGACUAAUGGUACACGCCUUCCUGAACCCAACUUGUCAUCAGGGAUUCUUGGCGCAGCUCCUUUAGAUAGCAAACAGUCAGGUAGUGGUAGGCCUUACAGAACACAUCAAUCUGGCCUGCCUCAGAGACCAGGUUUCUCGUCCGGUCCCAGAUAGCUUCUUCUACUGGACAUUAACUGCCAUGGUGCCCCUGCAGGAAAGCCAUUCAAUUUUGUCUCAGUGGCUUUUGCUGCUUCGAUCUAUAUUCUUUACCUGGAAUUGCGCUGGUCUAUGGGAAUACAAAUUUUUGCUCAUUCCUUGACCACAUACCUGCUAUUUUGAAGCCAACUGUAAACCAAAGGACUGCAUCAUUUAGAAGCCAGAAAGAGUGAACUUGGAGGCGCCUUUCCUAGAUCCAGGAGAUGAAGAUUUUGUUCUAUUGGAAUUUCUAGGGCACACAGAUUUCUUCCCCUUACAGAUAAAAUCCCAGUCUUUUUUUUUUGGCUGUUUUGAAGUAUAUAAUGGAUAGUGAAAGAGCAUAUUUCUUUAGGUUAUAUGUGACAGUUUGUCACAGUCUGUAUGUAUUAUGCUUUUUGCGAAGUGUACAUUAUCAAAUUUUGCUUAUUCAAU
rnacentral:misc_RNA from 1 species